CGUGUUCAUUGCCUCCCGCACCGCACUGUUGCAGACAGUCACAGAAAGAUCGCACAACAUGAGCAGACGCAGUAUGGGUGUUGAUUGUCCAUCUGAACCUCCUGACUGAAGAGAAGCUUGCCAGUUUCUACGAUGUCUUCCCUGUAAAGGCUCAUAUAUUGGUUUGGCCCUUAGGCCACAGCUGUGUGGAAAAAAACCUUCUCUACCCAUUAAUUGGUAAGUUAUCUAAUUUUUUUUUCUAGUUUUGUCAACCCCUUUUAUUGCACAUUCAAGUCCUAUUAUGUCUUGAAUGAUCGACAUGGAGGGGCAGAUGAAUUCUCUCAAAAACCUGAAGUAUUGGCUCAACAUUCCUUGCUUCGGAUCCUGUCGGGAGAAACACAUUUUUUUUUUUUUUUUAUGGUUAGCCUUGUUAAUUGUGUGUUGAGAUGCUUGAUAAUCAGUCUAAAUUUGUAUUUUGCAGCCAAUGACAAAGGCAGAGAAUGUAAGAACUACAGUCAUUAGAUUCCAUUGAUGGCUUCAUUUUGGGGCACAUGUAUUCAGUGACUGGCUUGUUCCUCGGAAGUGAUGCAGCUUGAGAAGAGCUAAUUUUAUUUCCAUGUUUGGAGAAUGUAAAAUGAGUGGGGGAGUUUCUUUUGUAAACCAUGUUUAUGUAAUGCACAAUUUUGAAAGUUAUGCAUUGAUUGUUACCAAUAAAGAAAGAU
ensembl:lncRNA